rnacentral:lncRNA from 1 species
CUUUUGCAUCGAAUCUUGGAUGGUAUGGAGUGAGUGUUUUGUUAAGUUGGUGGGGGUUAUCAUGGGUGAAUCCCAAAAAUUAAGAGGGGUUGGAUGUUUGAUGGUUUGCAUUGAGAUACAGGAUCUGGAGGAGAUUUGGGAAGCCUUUUCGUUGCGACAACGUGGAGCCUAUGGCUAAUCAAGAAUGGGGUAGUCCUUAACAAUUCUGAAGUUCAACGGCAAGAUAUUGUUGAGUUUGGUGAAAUCAAUAAAUGCCGAUACAAUAUUGGAAAUGUCAUGUGCCUAAAGAUUAAAAACAAGAGUGAAUGGGUUAUUCAGGAAUGCAGAUCGAAGUGUUUGCAGACCAAACAGUCUAGAGGAUAGGAAAGGGAGCCAGAAUACAAUUUUGUCAUUUUCCUUCGUACUUUUCUUGGAGAAACCCUACGGUCUCAGAAUUUGGACCAAGAAAAGCUUACAAAAUUUAAAGUGAAUGGUUCAAAUUCACGUGGUUAUGUGAACAUGAACCAUUCAUUUUGAAUUGAAAACUUUUUGUUAGUCUAAAUUCUAAAAACGUAGUAGUCCUUUUCUUGAGUAUGUGACUGUAGCAGUUGCACCUUGCCAAGGAAGUGUCUUCUAUUAAAUUUUGAGAGCUUAUUGUUGAUUAUUGUGAGCAAAGGAGGAUAAUGCUCUUGUAUUAGGGCAUGAUGCAUCUUCCCUUAAUGUAAUAUUUUACCUUUAGCUUAAAAAAUGUAAAAUAGGAAGAUCACGUACAAUAGCUUACAAUACAUAAGAUAGACAUAAGAGCGCGCCAAAUCGAAAAUAAAACAAUAAAUCGAUAAUGCAACAAAAUCUUACCUCAAAGAGGAUUCCAGAGAGACCAACAAAUUCAAGCCACCAGAAGCUUCUUAAAAUUGCUGGUACUACAUAUUAAAGACAGAGAAGGUGAAGAUGAUGUUAAAUAAGAAAAAAAAAUGGAACGUAAAAAGAGAAAACAAUCAUUGAAAUAAGAAGUAGAAUAUGUAGGAGUAGAAGAGUAAACAAUGACAAAAGCAAUAGAGAUCUAAGAAUUAAAUACAUUAAAGUUCAAAGCUCUUCCACGAUAGUGGGAAAUCAAAAAUGAAUCGUUGAUAACAGAGCAAUCCAAUAUUAUGGAUACGGUUUCUAUGUUGAAAAGGUAUCUCUCGACCUGUACCAUUGCAGCCAUUACUAAAUGCGGCUCAAAUAGAUAGAUAGCAUUCAUUGCAGCCAUUACUAAAAUGCAGAAAUAGCCCACAACUGACCAAAAGUAUUAUCAAUAGCUAAUUCACAAUGAAGAUUGGGAAAACAAUCUCCAACAAAAUUGUAAAUUGUAGCUUGCAUAUUUAAUUUCUGGAUCUAAUUUUCAGGUCAUAAACAACUGUAAUAAUACCGUCUAAUAUUAGAAUAAAUAACUCAAAAAAGAAUAGAAGCAAGUAUAACUGCACUAAGCAAUGAUAUUGAACUACUCAUUACCUAUGUAAGCUUAGCCAAAACUCAAAAGCAGUGCAAGUCAAGUAUCUGACCAACUUUGACAUAUGGUUCAAGGUCCAAAGUGGCAUCUCAUGGCACUUAUAUCUGUUUAAUUAGCAUCGAUACUUUUUCCACCUACAUUUGGACACCUACAUGAAAAGUGAUAAGCACAACUAUCAUCUGAUAGAGAGAGGAUCUCAUGGUCUUGAACACACAAGAAGGAGCAGUAAAUAGAAAGUAAGUCACAACUGGAUCUCAAAUUCAAAUGCGUCAUACGUCAGAAUAUUUCUCUCAUUUUCUUAAAGUUGGGACCAUGAAAUCACAAGAUUUUAUUGCCAAGACUGCCUUUUAAGUGGCAUAAUCAGUAAACCUUUAUUUACCUCAAUGAAAAUACCAAAGUAAUCUUUUUUUUACUACAACUCCUAUGCUACGUUUAGCAUGCAAUAGAAAAUAACACUCUCAAAUGAAUAUUUAGGGUCCACAUACAUAUGAACGAAGACAAUACAAACCAGAGACCCCACCCUUAAUGCCAUUCUAGAAGAAGAACACGAAGAAAAGAUUGCUUUGGUCCAGAACCUGAUUUUUCCAUAUUAGCAUUCUAUAAAUAAUAAAAUGUGCUUCAGCAUUGGGAACAAUGAGUUUGUUAGUUGUCCCCAAGAAAAUUUCCAUUAUUUAUCUCGGUAAUUGCUUAGUGAAUUUUGUAGGGAGAGUUAUAAGUUCCCUGAGACUAGAUGUGGUAAGGAAGAGGCUCAGACAACUUACUAGUAGAAAGAAAAAAGUAAAUAUGCUACAAGUGUUGAGCAACUUCUCAUAAUUCUCAUUCAGAAAAUGAAAUGUAAACAAUUAGUUUCGUGAAGUUGAUCCUCUUUAAACAAAAUGCAAAUAGUUUAGCAGUUGAUCAGUUAAUAUCUUUUAGAAUCAAGAGGGAUGUGAUGCAAUGCGGGAGAAGGGUAAUAGAGUAGUAUGGCAUCUAAAGUGGCACAAACACCCCCAAUAUGGUGCAAAGGAUAGACAUAAAAGGCCAAGUCACAAG